GACGAACGCUGGCGGCGUGCUUAACACAUGCAAGUCGAACGGAAAGGCCCUGCUUUUGUGGGGUGCUCGAGUGGCGAACGGGUGAGUAACACGUGAGUAACCUGCCCUUGACUUUGGGAUAACUUCAGGAAACUGGGGCUAAUACCGGAUAGGAGCUCCUGCUGCAUGGUGGGGGUUGGAAAGUUUCGGCGGUUGGGGAUGGACUCGCGGCUUAUCAGCUUGUUGGUGGGGUAGUGGCUUACCAAGGCUUUGACGGGUAGCCGGCCUGAGAGGGUGACCGGCCACAUUGGGACUGAGAUACGGCCCAGAGUCCAACGGGAGGCAGCAGUGGGGAAUAUUGCACAAUGGGCGGAAGCCUGAUGCAGCAACGCCGCGUGCGGGAUGACGGCCUUCGGGUUGUAAACCGCUUUAGCCUGUGACGAAGCGUGAGUGACGGUAAUGGGUAAAGAAGCACCGGCUAACUACGUG
rnacentral:rRNA from 1 species